UACGUAGGGACCAAGCGUUGUUCGGAUUUACUGGGCGUAAAGGGCGCGUAGGCGGCCUGUUAAGUCGAACGUGAAAUCCCCGGGCUCAACCCGGGAACUGCGUCCGAUACUGGCAGGCUUGAAUUCGGGAGAGGGAUGCGGAAUUCCAGGUGUAGCGGUGAAAUGCGUAGAUAUCUGGAGGAACACCGGUGGCGAAGGCGGCAUCCUGGACCGAGAUUGACGCUGAGGCGCGAAAGCCAGGGGAGCAAACGGG
rnacentral:rRNA from 1 species